CCUACGGGAGGCAGCAGUGAGGAAUAUUGGUCAAUGGGCUUACGCCUGAACCAGCCAAGUCGCGUGAGGGAAGACUGCCCUAUGGGUUGUAAACCUCUUUUGUCAGGGAGCAACGCCGGCUACGUGUAGCCGGACUGAGAGUACCUGAAGAAAAAGCAUCGGCUAACUCCGUGCCAGCAGCCGCGGAAAUACGGAGGAUGCGAGCGUUAUCCGGAUUUAAGGGGUUUAAAGGGUGCGUAGGCGGAAUGCCAAGUCAGCGGUAAAAUCGCGGGGCUCAACCUCGCUCCGCCGUUGAAACUGGCGUUCUUGAGUGGGCGAGAAGUAUGCGGAAGGCGUGGUGGAGCGGUGAAAUGCAUAGAUAUCACGCAGAACUCCGAUUGCGAAGGCAGCAUACCGGCGCCCAACUGACGCUGAAGCACGAAAGCGUGGGUAUCGAACAGGAUUAGAUACCCGAGUAGUC
rnacentral:rRNA from 1 species